rnacentral:rRNA from 1 species
GACGAACGCUGGCGGCGUGCCUAACACAUGCAAGUCGAACGGUAAGGCCCUUCGGGGUACAUGAGUGGCGAACGGGUGAGUAACACGUGGGUGAUCUGCCCUGCACUUCGGGAUAAGCCUGGGAAACUGGGUCUAAUACCGGAUAGGACCACUGCCUGCAUGGGUGGUGGUGGAAAGCUUUUGCGGUGUGGGAUGGGCCCGCGGCCUAUCAGCUUGUUGGUGGGGUGAUGGCCUACCAAGGCGACGACGGGUAGCCGGCCUGAGAGGGUGACCGGCCACACUGGGACUGAGAUACGGCCCAGACUCCUACGGGAGGCAGCAGUGGGGAAUAUUGCACAAUGGGCGCAAGCCUGAUGCAGCGACGCCGCGUGAGGGAUGACGGCCUUCGGGUUGUAAACCUCUUUCAGCACCGACGAAGCGCAAGUGACGGUAGGUGCAGAAGAAGGACCGGCCAACUACGUGCCAGCCGCCGCGGUAA